rnacentral:rRNA from 1 species
GAUUGAACGCUGGCGGCAUGCUUUACACAUGCAAGUCGAACGGCAGCACGGGAGCUUGCUCCUGGUGGCGAGUGGCGAACGGGUGAGUAAUGCGUCGGAACGUGCCGAGUAAUGGGGGAUAACGCUUCGAAAGGAGUGCUAAUACCGCAUACGCUCUGAGGAGGAAAGCGGGGGACCUUCGGGCCUCGCGUUAUUCGAGCGGCCGACGUCGGAUUAGCUAGUUGGUGGGGUAAAGGCUUACCAAGGCGACGAUCCGUAGCGGGUCUGAGAGGAUGAUCCGCCACACUGGGACUGAGACACGGCCCAGACUCCUACGGGAGGCAGCAGUGGGGAAUUUUGGACAAUGGGGGCAACCCUGAUCCAGCCAUGCCGCGUGUCUGAAGAAGGCCUUCGGGUUGUAAAGGACUUUUGUCAGGGAGGAAAUCCUGAGCGUUAAUAGCGUUUGGGGAUGACAGUACCUGAAGAAUAAGCACCGGCUAACUACGUGCCAGCAGCCGCGG